ACGGAAGGCAGCAGUGGGGAAUAUUGCACAAUGGGCGAAAGCCUGAUGCAGCGACGCCGCGUGAACGAAGAAGUAUUUCGGUAUGUAAAGUUCUAUCAGCAGGGAAGAUAAUGACGGUACCUGACUAAGAAGCCCCGGCUAACUACGUGCCAGCAGCCGCGGUAAUACGUAGGGGGCAAGCGUUAUCCGGAUUUACUGGGUGUAAAGGGAGUGUAGGUGGCCUGGCAAGCCAGAUGUGAAAGCCCGCGGCUCAACCGCGGGACUGCAUUUGGAACUGUUAGGCUUGAGUGCAGGAGAGGAAAGUGGAAUUCCUAGUGUAGCGGUGAAAUGCGUAGAUAUUAGGAGGAACACCAGUGGCGAAGGCGGCUUUCUGGACUGUAACUGACACUGAGGCUCGAAAGCGUGGGGAGCAAACAGGAUUAGAUACCCUGGUA
rnacentral:rRNA from 1 species